rnacentral:rRNA from 1 species
GUCUAUGGCCAUACCACUCUGAACACGCCCUAUCUCGUCUGACCUCAGAGGCUAAGCAGGGUCUGUCCUGGUUAGUACUUGAAUGGGAGAAUUAUGGUGCUCUUGAUA